UUAAGUUCAGCGGGUAUCCCUACCUGAUCCGAGGUCAAACAUAGAAAUUGGGGGGUUGCUGGCUAGCAUCCACCGGGACCCUAUAGCGAGAAAGAUUACUACGCUUAGAGCCAGAUGGCGCCGCCACUGGUUUUAAGGGCCGCCGGUAAGGCGGGCCCCAAGACCCCUUGCGGGAUGUGUUUAUAUGACGCUCGAACAGG
rnacentral:misc_RNA from 1 species